UACGGAGGGUGCAAGCGUUGCUCGGAAUUAUUGGGCGUAAAGGGUAGGUAGGUGGUCUCGCAAGUCCAGGGUGAAAUCCCGAAGCUCAACUUCGGACGGUCCUUGGAAACUGCGAGACUAGAGUCCUGGAGAGGGUCGUGGAAUUCCCGGUGUAGCGGUGAAAUGCGUAGAGAUCGGGAGGAACACCAGAGGCGAAGGCGGCGACCUGGACAGGCACUGACACUGAACUACGAAAGCGUGGGGAGCAAACAGG
rnacentral:misc_RNA from 1 species